GUACACUCCUGCGGGAGGCAGCAGUGAGGAAUAUUGGACAAUGGGUGGAAGCCUGAUCCAGCCAUCCCGCGUGCAGGAAGACGGCCCUAUGGGUUGUAAACUGCUUUUAUCUGGGGAUAAACCUACUUACGUGUAAGUAGCUGAAGGUACCAGAAGAAUAAGCACCGGCUAACUCCGUGCCAGCAGCCGCGGUAAUACGGAGGGUGCAAGCGUUAUCCGGAUUUAUUGGGUUUAAAGGGUCCGUAGGCGGACUGAUAAGUCAGUGGUGAAAUCCGACAGCUUAACUGUCGAACUGCCAUUGAUACUGUUAGUCUUGAGUAAGGUUGAAGUGGCUGGAAUAAGUAGUGUAGCGGUGAAAUGCAUAGAUAUUACUUAGAACACCAAUUGCGAAGGCAGGUCACUAAGUCUUAACUGACGCUGAUGGACGAAAGCGUGGGGAGCGAACAGGAUUAGAAACCCUGGUAGUCCC
rnacentral:rRNA from 1 species